rnacentral:lncRNA from 1 species
AUUUUUUUAAAUUAAAAUUUAUCAUAAGGCUUAGCAAUAUUGUUGUGCAUACAUGCUGGUGCAUAAGAUUUAAUGUAAUGUUUGCUUGAUGCUCCUUCGUGUGUUGUGAGUGAGCAAAGUUUUAAAAAUACGUUUAGUAGAACGAUCGUCCUUGACCAGUACGUCUUUAUCUUUAUCCACAAUCAAAUUCUUUAUUUCUCGGCUCAAGUUUUUAUUAUGAGCUUUCUAAAAUCUUUUCUUUGUCACCUAAAUUCCUUCUUUUAGUUUCUCGUUCAUCAAGCACUAUCUGCGAUCUUCUUGGUAAUUUUCCAGCUUUUUCUGUAACUUGUUCCCACUUCUGUGAGCAUAAUCUAGAUGCUCCAUAUUAUCUUAUCAGGCGCUCCAAAUACUUUAUUUGAGUUCCUCAUGUUCUAUAAUGUCUCUGAGAAUUUUCUCCGAAUUUUCAGAGCUUUCGGAAUAUUUUU